rnacentral:rRNA from 1 species
UACGUAGGGUGCGAGCGUUGUCCGGAAUUAUUGGGCGUAAAGAGCUUGUAGGCGGCUUGUCGCGUCUGCUGUGAAAAUCCGGGGCUCAACCCCGGACUUGCAGUGGGUACGGGCAGACUAGAGUGUGGUAGGGGAGACUGGAAUUCCUGGUGUAGCGGUGAAAUGCGCAGAUAUCAGGAGGAACACCGAUGGCGAAGGCAGGUCUCUGGGCAGUAACUGACGCUGAGGAGCGAAAGCGUGGGGAGCGAACAGG